rnacentral:rRNA from 1 species
AACGAACGCUGGCGGCAUGCCUAACACAUGCAAGUCGAACGAUGCCUUCGGGCAUAGUGGCGCACGGGUGCGUAACGCGUGGGAAUCUGCCUUUCGGUUCGGAAUAACUCAGGGAAACUUGAGCUAAUACCGGAUAACGUCGCAAGACCAAAGAUUUAUCACCGAAAGAUGAGCCCGCGUAGGAUUAGCUAGUUGGUGAGGUAAAGGCUCACCAAGGCGACGAUCCUUAGCUGGUCUGAGAGGAUGAUCAGCCACACUGGGACUGAGACACGGCCCAGACUCCUACGGGAGGCAGCAGUGGGGAAUAUUGGACAAUGGGCGAAAGCCUGAUCCAGCAAUGCCGCGUGAGUGAUGAAGGCCUUAGGGUUGUAAAGCUCUUUUACCCGGGAAGAUAAUGACGGUACCGGGAGGAUAAGCCCCGGCUAACUCCGUG